CGAGUUUGAAAGAUGGCUUCGGCUAUCACUUUUGGAUGGUCCCGCGCGUAUUAGCUAGAUGGUGGGUAACGGCUCACAUGGCAAUGAUACGUAGCCGACCUGAGAGGGUAAUCGGCCACAUUGGGACUGAGACACGGCCCAAACUCCUACGGGAGGCAGCAGUAGGGAAUCUUCACAAUGGACGAAGUCUGAUGGAGCAACGCCGCGUGAGUGAAGAAGGGUUUCGGCUCGUAAAACUCUGUGUUAAAGAAGAACAUAUCUGAGAGUAACUGUUCAGGUAUUGACGGUAUUAACCAGAAAGCCACGGCUAACUACGUGCAGCAGCCGCGGUAAUACGUAGGUGGCAAGCGUUGUCCGAUUUAUUGGGCGUAAAGCGAGCGCAGGCGGUUUUUAAGUCUGAUGUGAAGCCUUCGGCUCAACCGAAGAAGUGCAUCGGAAACUGGGAAACUUGAGUGCAGAGAGGACAGUGGAACUCCAUGUGUAGCGGUGAAUGCGUAGAUAUAUGGAAGAACACCAGUGGCGAAGGCGGCUGUCUGGUCUGUACUGACGCUGAGGCUCGAAAGUAUGGGUAGCAACAGGAUUAGAUACCCUGGUAGUCCAUACCGUAACGAUGAAUGCUAAGUGUUGGAGGGUUUCCGCCCUUCAGUGCUGCAGCUAACGCAUUAAGCAUUCCGCCUGGGGAGUACGGCCGCAAGGCUGAAACUCAAAGGAAUUGACGGGGCCGCACAAGCGGUGGAGCAUGUGGUUUAAUUCGAAGCUACGCGAAGAACCUUACCAGUCUUGACAUACUAUGCAAAUCUAAGAGAUUAGACGUUCCCUUCGGGGACAUGGAUACAGGUGGUGCAUGGUUGUCGUCAGCUCGUGUCGUGAGAUGUUGGGUUAAGUCCGCAACGAGCGCAACCUUAUAUCAGUUGCCAGCAUUAAGUUGGGCACUCUGGUGAGACUGCCGGUGACAAACCGGAGGAAGGUGGGGAUGACGUCAAAUCAUCAUGCCCCUUAUGACCUGGGCUACACACGUGCUACAAUGGAUGGUACAACGAGUUGCGAACUCGCGAGAGUAAGCUAAUCUCUUAAAGCCAUUCCAGUUCGGAUUGUAGGCUGCAACUCGCCUACAUGAAGUGGAAUCGCU
rnacentral:rRNA from 2 species